rnacentral:rRNA from 1 species
UGGGGAAUUUUGGACAAUGGGGGAAACCCUGAUCCAGCCAUCCCGCGUGUGCGAUGAAGGCCUUCGGGUUGUAAAGCACUUUUGGCAGGAAAGAAACGUCAUGGGUUAAUACCCCGUGAAACUGACGGUACCUGCAGAAUAAGCACCGGCUAACUACGUGCCAGCAGCCGCGGUAAUACGUAGGGUGCAAGCGUUAAUCGGAAUUACUGGGCGUAAAGCGUGCGCAGGCGGUUCGGAAAGAAAGAUGUGAAAUCCCAGAGCUCAACUUUGGAAAUGCAUUUAUAACUACCGGGCUAGAGUGUGUCAGAGGGAGGUGGAAGUCAGCGUGUAGCAGUGAAAUGCGUAGAUAUGCGGAGGAACACCGAUGGCGAAGGCAGCCUCCUGGAAUAACACUAAGGCUCAUGAACGAAGGCGUGGGGGGCAAACAGG